rnacentral:rRNA from 1 species
AGUAACACGUAGGUGACCUACCUUUUAGCGGGGGACAACUCUGAGAAAUUAGAGCUAAUACCGCAUACGAUAAGUAAAUUUAGAAGUAACUUAUGAAAGGAUGCCUCUUCUUGAAAGCAUUCACUAAAAGACGGGCCUGCGGAUCAUUAGUUUGUUGGUGGGGUAAUGGCCUACCAAGACAUCGAUGAUUAGCUGAUCUGAGAGGAUGAUCAGCCACACUGGGACUGAGACACGGCCCAGACUCC